rnacentral:lncRNA from 1 species
GUCCCCCUCGGGGGCUGCGGGGCUCAAGGCACCGGGGAGCCACUGAGGGGCCAGUACGUCUGAGGGCACCAGGGCUGCCACAGGGGGAAGAGCGCCUUUGAAGGCACUGUGCUGCUGCUGAGGUGCUGCUGGUGCCUAGGGCCCAGAGGAUGAUCUCCGUCUGAUUGACGUUUCUAUAAGGGCUGCUCUGCUCAGGACCAAGCGACCAACAUGGGGGCAAUAGACCAGCUGUGUUGCCCUCUAUCUUGUUCUGCUCCUAUAUGCACUGGGAUUCUGCCUGGUAUGACAGGAUUCCUUUGAAAGCGAGAGUACAAGAACCCUGUUUGACUUGACCUCAGUAUCUCUGUUGGAUGAUUAAAAUAGAAUUUAUAGACAGCCACAUGUGCCUACUGCAGUUGGUAAAAGCAUUAAAAACCUAAAUAUUUAAAUACCA